GUGCCGAAAAAUCAAAGAGAAGAAGAGACCAAACAGGGAGGUCCCUUCUCCGACGAAAUUCGGUGACACCCGUCACCGACAGUUGUGCAUAGAGAUACGGAAAAAAAGAGAGAGGAAGAUGAAAAAGGGUUUACCUCAGCCUCCGAUGAUCCCGUCGGUGAGAAAUUACGGCGAGCACGAAUCAAGGGGCCGCGGCUUCAAUUGGAGAAAUCAGGGAGGAAGAGAGGGAG
rnacentral:lncRNA from 1 species